CCCUUAGAUGUCCUGGGCCGCACGCGUGCUACACUGACGCCUACAGCGAGCACUUUCCAGCCCCGAGAGGCGGCUGGUAAUCAGCAAUAGGCGUCGUGAUGGGGAUAGAUCUUUGGAAUUAUGGAUCUUGAACGAGGAAUGCCUAGUAAGCGCAGGUCAUUAGCCUGCGCUGAUUAAGUCCCUGCCCUUUGUACACACCGCCCGUCGCUCCUACCGAUUUCGAGUGGUCCGGCGAAUCUUUCGGACUGCGCGCGGCCUUGAGUCGUGUCGCGGAAAGUCAGGUAAACCUUAUCACUUAGAGGAAGUAAAAGUCGUAACA
rnacentral:rRNA from 1 species